rnacentral:rRNA from 1 species
GAUUAAGUUAUUAAGGGCGCACGGUGGAUGCCUUGGCACUAGAAGCCGAUGAAGGACGUUACUAACGACGAUAUGCUUUGGGUAGCUGUAAGUAAGCGUUGAUCCAGAGAUUUCCGAAUGGGGGAACCCAGCAUGAGUUAUGUCAUGUUAUCGACAUGUGAAUUCAUAGCAUGUCAGAAUU